rnacentral:lncRNA from 1 species
GAAACAUGGAUGACCUCAUGUUGGUGGAACAUGGUGAGAAGGGCUCUAGGAAGCUCUGCCUCUGGUGGGACCCAGAGGGAGCCAUGGCAGCCCCCAGUCAGCUCCUCUCCCUCCUGUUACUCCGUCUCCCAGGUGAGGGAUCACAGGAUGGUUCUGCAUGUCCGUGAAACCUCUUUUAUUGUGGUUGGGUCCUGUGUCCUGGCACCUCUGUUUAGCAAGCCCAGUGAUUCAAGCUCAGGGUGCUGCAGGGUCCUGGCUCUACUGUGGAGACUGGGGUAUGGCCUAGACUACACAGGUGACCUUUCUGUUCUCUUUCCAUCUCAGGGACCACAGGAGAAAUUGUGUUGACACAGACUCCAGCAUCUGUGGAUUUGCCUCCAGGGGAAAGUGCACCCACACCUGCAGGGCCAUUCAGAGUGUUGGCAGCUCCUUCUCCUGGUACCAGCAGAAGCCUGGACAGGCUCCCAGUUGCCUCAUCUAGGGUGCAUACAGCAGGGCCAGUGGCAUCCCAGCCCGAUUCAGUGGCAGUGGGUCAGGGACAGCCUUUACCCUCCCAUUACAGCCGGAGACUGGGGAGGCUGCAGUGUGUGACUGUCUGCAAGGUCACACAGGUUACAACAGUGGUUCAGUCCCCCACAGAAACCUCACAGUCCCCUCUGCCACCCUCCCCCUGGGGUACAGCGGCUGCCCCCAGAGGCCCCCAGUCAGAUCCUUUGUACUUUUCUCUUCCCACUGCACCUGGAAAGGUUGAGUGAGUGGAAACCAAG